CCUACGGGUGGCUGCAGUGAGGAAUAUUGGUCAAUGGCCGAAAGGCUGAACCAGCCAAGCCGCGUGAAGGAUGAAGGUCCUCUGGUUUGUAAACUUCUUUUAUAGGGGAAUAAAGAUAUCCACGUGUGGAUAUAUGAAUGUACCCUAUGAAUAAGCAUCGGCUAACUCCGUGCCAGCAGCCGCGGUAAUACGGAGGAUGCGAGCGUUAUCCGGAUUUAUUGGGUUUAAAGGGUGCGUAGGUGGUUUUGUAAGUUAGCAGGGAAAGUUUGUGGCUCAACCAUAGAAUUGCCGUUGAAACUGGAAGACUUGAGUGGGAGAGAGGUAGGCGGAAUGCGUGGUGUAGCGGUGAAAUGCAUAGAUAUCACGCAGAACUCCGAUUGCGAAGGCAGCUUGCUAGGCCAUAACUGACACUGAGGCACGAAAGCGUGGGGAUCAAACAGGAUUAGAUACCCGAGUAGUC
rnacentral:rRNA from 1 species